GACGAACGCUGGCGGCGUGCCUAAUACAUGCAAGUAGAACGCUGAAGGAGGAGCUUGCUUCUCUGGAUGAGUUGCGAACGGGUGAGUAACGCGUAGGUAACCUGCCUGGUAGCGGGGGAUAACUAUUGGAAACGAUAGCUAAUACCGCAUAAGAGUAGAUGUUGCAUGACAUUUGCUUAAAAGGUGCAAUUGCAUCACUACCAGAUGGACCUGCGUUGUAUUAGCUAGUUGGUGAGGUAACGGCUCACCAAGGCAACGAUACAUAGCCGACCUGAGAGGGUGAUCGGCCACACUGGGACUGAGACACGGCCCAGACUCCUACGGGAGGCAGCAGUAGGGAAUCUUCGGCAAUGGGGGGAACCCUGACCGAGCAACGCCGCGUGAGUGAAGAAGGUUUUCGGAUCGUAAAGCUCUGUUGUAAGAGGAGAACGAGUGUGAGAGUGGAAAGUCACACUGUGACGUAUCUACCAG
rnacentral:rRNA from 1 species